GAUGAACGCUGGCGGCGUGCUUAACACAUGCAAGUCGAACGGUGAACACGGAGCUUGCUCUGUGGGAUCAGUGGCGAACGGGUGAGUAACACGUGAGCAACCUGCCCCUGACUCUGGGAUAAGCGCUGGAAACGGCGUCUAAUACUGGAUAUGUGACGUGACCGCAUGGUCUGCGUUUGGAAAGAUUUUUCGGUUGGGGAUGGGCUCGCGGCCUAUCAGCUUGUUGGUGAGGUAAUGGCUCACCAAGGCGUCGACGGGUAGCCGGCCUGAGAGGGUGACCGGCCACACUGGGAUUGAGACACGGCCCAGACUCCUACGGGAGGCAGCAGUGGGGAAUAUUGCACAAUGGGCGAAAGCCUGAUGCAGCAACGCCGCGUGAGGGAUGACGGCCUUCGGGUUGUAAACCUUUUUUAGCAGGGAAGAAGCGAAAGUGGCGGUACCUGCAGAAAAAGCGCCGGCUAACUACGUG
rnacentral:rRNA from 1 species